GGCGAGUGGCGAACGGGUGAGUAAUACAUCGGGAACGUGUCCUAGAGUGGGGGAUAGCCCGGCGAAAGCCGGAUUAAUACCGCAUACGCUCGAGAGAGGAAAGCGGGGGAUCUUCGGACCUCGCGCUCAAGGGGCGGCCGAUGUCGGAUUAGCUAGUUGGUAGGGUAAAGGCCUACCAAGGCGACGAUCCGUAGCUGGUCUGAGAGGACGACCAGCCACACUGGGACUGAGACACGGCCCAGACUCCUACGGGAGGCAGCAGUGGGGAAUUUUGGACAAUGGGGGCAACCCUGAUCCAGCAAUGCCGCGUGUGUGAAGAAGGCCUUCGGGUUGUAAAGCACUUUUGUCCGGAAAGAAAUCCUCUGGGUUAAUACCUCGGGGGGAUGACGGUACCGGAAGAAUAAGCACCGGCUAACUACGUGCCAGCAGCCGCGGUAAUACGUAGGGUGCGAGCGUUAAUCGGAAUUACUGGGCGUAAAGCGUGCGCAGGCGGUUUGCUAAGACCGAUGUGAAAUCCCCGGGCUUAACCUGGGAACUGCAUUGGUGACUGGCAAGCUAGAGUGCGGCAGAGGGGGAUGGAAUUCCGCGUGUAGCAGUGAAAUGCGUAUUCACACAGGAAACCACAUAUGGUCGACCUGAGUUUGAUCCCGGCUCAGGGUCAGCUUAACGCGUGAAGUUGACCCGC
rnacentral:rRNA from 1 species